UUGACUAAAACACAGGGGGCGACCUGGGGCUUUUCUUCAAGCCCUAAACUCUCCUAAAUCUCACAAAUUGAAGGUCAAGAUCAGUCCCAAAACGAAACUAGAGCCUGGAUUAGUGAUCCCCAUUGUAAGGAGAUCAUAAGGAAAAGAUACCGGAGCGUCGAGUGGACAAGCCGGUGGCGACUUACGUUUGAAGGGCGCGAUUUGAAGUAUGUAACUUGAUCCGUUACAUUGGGUGACAAUGGGGAUCUUACGGAUGGCAGUCAAGCAAGUUUUGAAGAACCGAACACAACUUUUGAAGCUUCCGCGAUAUCUAAAACUUAUUAGACAAAGUUUUUGUAAUGUAAACAAUUUGCUUAUCGUGUCAUGACUGUUUAAACUAGUUGGUGGUUGUCAAGUUAUGAAUACUUA